UGGGUCGGCUGGACGGUCGCGUGGCGCGAGAGCGCACCGAGGAACGUCCGGGCUCCACAGGGCAGGGCGGUGGGUAACACCCACCCGGAGCAAUCCGCGAGACAGUGCCACAGAGAGCAGACCGCCGGCUCAGGCCGGUAAGGGUGAAAGGGUGGUGUAAGAGACCACCGGGGUCGUGGUGACACGACCCGCACGGCAAACCUCGCCCGGAGCAAGGCCAGACAGGGGAUGUUGACGCGGCUCGCCGAGUCCCCGGGUAGGCCGCUGGAGCGGCACGGCAACGUGUCGCCGAGAGAGAUGACCGUCGAAGGGGCAUCGCCCCGGAACAGAACCCGGCGUACAGGCCGGCCCAUUCG
rnacentral:RNase_P_RNA from 1 species